UCUGAGUUUGCAAAUAGUUAAUAUGCUUGGCUGCUAACCAAGAGGUUGGAGGUUCGAGUCCACUCAGAG
rnacentral:tRNA from 1 species